GGGGUUGUUGCUCAGUGGUAGAGUGCUCACCUAGCAUGUGUGAGGCACUGGGUUCGAUCCCCAGCACCA
rnacentral:tRNA from 1 species